rnacentral:rRNA from 1 species
UACAGGGGGGGCAAGCGUUGUUCGGAAUUACUGGGCGUAAAGGGCUCGUAGGCGGCCGACUAAGUCCGACGUGAAAUCCCAAAGCUUAACUUUGGAACUGCGUCGGAUACUGGAUGGCUUGAAUUCGGGAGAGGGAUGCAGAAUUCCAGGUGUAGCGGUGAAAUGCGUAGAUAUCCGGAGGAACACCGGUGGCGAAGGCGGCUUCCUGGACCGACACUGACGCUGAGGCGCGAAAGCUAGGGGAGCAAACGGG